rnacentral:rRNA from 1 species
GAAUCAGUACGCUGGUCGUGCCUUCGGUAUGUACUGGUGUCACUGGUUUCUCCCUUCUGAAGAACCAUCAUGCCAUUCACUUGGUGUGGUGGGAAAUCAGGACUGUUACUUUGAAAAAAUUAGGGUGUUCAAAGCAGGCGUUCGCUUGAAUACAUUAGCAUGGAAUAAUGAAAUAGGGCU